CAAGAGUUGACUGUGGAACAUUAGGAACAAAACCAAGUCCCAGGAGAGGAGCCAUGCCAGUAACCUGAGAUGUUCCUGUAAUAGUAGGGAGUGUGAGUUCCCGCUGGGGUCCAGCAGGAGAUCUGGUGAGGUAGGAAGUAAUCUCAGGUAGUCUAUGGAUAUUUCCAUGAGUGUAGGGAACCAUGGUUGAGCCAUCCAGAACGGGGAUAUGAGGAUCAAGGAGGCCCAGUAACGUCUGAGAUGAAGGAGUGUCCCAGAUAUCAGGGAGAAUGGAGGGAAAGUGUCAUGCUGAGUGUCCGGCCAUGGCUGCAGGAAAGCGUCUGAAGCCAAAGCCUGUGGAUCCGGUCUCCAGCUGAGGAAUUUUGGUAGCUGGGAGUUCAACCAUGAUGCAAAAAGGUCGAUCUCCAGAGGGCCUCAGAGUGACUGUAGUUGGAGGAAAAUGCCGCAAUUACAUAGUUAC